GUUGUUCUCUUUGACAUCUGGUGGGAGGGUGUUCCAUGUCCUAUGUUCUGAUAAGGAUGCGUUACUACUUUGGGAUCGACUCCCUGCUUUUACCAAUCUAGUCUCCCCGUACCAAACUAACUACUGGUACCUGUCAAUAGUUACUGUGCUGCAGCAUUUGGGAGACAUUAACUGUUCCUCCCUAACAGGAAAUUAAGAGCCCCUCUCCUCGGCUGCCAGGAUGGCAUUCGCGGGGGUUUAACUCAAAGUCCUGAGCAUGAGCCACACAAAUCCCUCCGAGCAGGGCCAACUGAGAAUAGAUAAGAAAUCAGGAGUUUUCUUGCAUGUUCUAUAUUUCAGAGCUGCAGGAGUGACACAAUAAUUAAGGAAAUUUAGAAGAAAAUAAUAGCCUUCCAAGAGAAGCUACCAGAUCAGAACACAAGAGAAGUGUUUGUUUUAAACUUCUGUUUCACUGUGAUACUUCAGUCUUUGUGAUACAUAAUUUUUAAUGUAUAGGGAUAGCUGUGGUGAGAGAGGAGUGGAAGACUAUAAACAGCAAUUGAAUUUUUUUUUCUGGGAAAGGAGCUCAGAUUGAGGGGGAGGAUGUGUCAGAGAUUAGUUGGUUCUUUGUGAGAUGGAUGAUUGUUCAGACAGCUAAUGGGGGGGUGUGAGCUUGUGUAAGCUGCCUUCAGGCAGUAUUAGGAAGGUGUUGAAAUAAUUGAGGUUCUUCUGAGUGGUUUACAGAGAAAUUAAUUAAUUAGAGCAAAUUUCAGGCAUGCAGUCUUUGUUUGCCUGGGUCAUUCUCUUCAGGGGUGUUACAUAAUAUUCCAUUCCAAAGUAUUAUUGUAGUUCCCUUCCUUCUAGAUUUUUUUUAAAAUUAUAUUUUAUUAAGGUGAUUUCAGUUAAAAGAAAUAAAGUGAUACAGAAAAAAAGAAGGGAACAUGAGAGGGAGAAGAACAACAACACAGUUACACAUAAAAGCGAAAAUAUGCAAAAAAAAAGAAGCAAUAUACAAUAUUCCCAUACAUUCUUGUAUAAAUUGGUAUAGUGUUAUUGUCCUAGUGAUUAUGUAAAUGUUAAUAGCCUACUACAUUUUGUAUGAACUCAUUCCAAAUGUUAUCAUAUUUAUCCAUUCAGUGUCUGUGCCUAUAAACAGUCCAUUCAUAAAUUACCAGUGACAUCA